rnacentral:lncRNA from 1 species
UCUCUGCACAUGUAGUUCCUGGAGCUGCUAUCUUACAAUGCCAACAUCUCUGAUUACAACUUCCUCCUGGGACAACCUCUUAAACGCUCUUGCUCGCAGCUCAAUAUGGAAUUGGUUACAAGCAACUUUUGUGGGAGAGACUACUAGUGUGCCUCAGCCGACAAACUUGGGGAUACUAGAUAAUCUCGCUCCAGCUGUGCAAAUCAUCCUUGGGAUUUCCUUUUUGACUUUAUUGGCAAUCGGAUUGUUUGCCUUAUGGAAACGAAGCAUUCGGUCAAUUCAGGACUCCACUCCAGGAUGGAUGCGGGUACCAGACAUCCAAACAAAGGACAGGGACGAAGCCUCCUCCCACUCAGACCACUCUGGCUAAGGAGAUGGUGCUUGUUAAGAGAUACGACUCUGCUUGCCUGUGAUCCUGUUUUCAUGUUAUUUGCCCAAACUCAACGUUCAGCGGACAGUUCUAUCAGAGAAGGAUAUACAAAACAACGACUCAUGUACCACCAGAGUUAGAACAGAUCAUGGAUUCGGACACAUUUGAGAAAUCACGACUGUAUCAACUGGAUAAAAGUACAUUCAGCUUCUGGUCAGGACUCUAUUCAGAGGUGGAAGGCACUUUUAUUCUUCUCUUUGGAGGAAUCCCUUACCUCUGGAGACUUUCUGGACGGUUCUGUAGUUCUGCUGGCUUCGGACCAGAAUAUGAGAUCAUUCAGUCGUUGGUGUUCCUGCUGUUGGCUACACUCUUCAGUGCACUGACUGGCUUGCCAUGGAGUCUGUACAAUACUUUCGUGAUAGAAGAAA